GACGAACGCUGGCGGCGUGCUUAACUCAUGCAAGUCGAACGGAAAGGCCUCUUUCGGGGGGUACUCGAGUGGCGAACGGGUGAGUAACACGUGAGUAACCUGCCCUUGACUUUGGGAUAACUUCAGGAAACUGGGGCUAAUACCGGAUAGGAGCUCCUGCUGCAUGGUGGGGGUUGGAAAGUUUCGGCGGUUGGGGAUGGACUCGCGGCUUAUCAGCUUGUUGGUGGGGUAGUGGCUUACCAAGGCUUUGACGGGUAGCCGGCCUGAGAGGGUGACCGGCCACAUUGGGACUGAGAUACGGCCCAGACUCCUACGGGAGGCAGCAGUGGGGAAUAUUGCACAAUGGGUGGAAGCCUGAUGCAGCAACGCCGUGUGCGGGAUGACGGCCUUCGGGUUGUAAACCGCUUUCGCUCAUGACGAAGCUUUGUGUGACGGUAGUGGGUAAAGAAGCACCGGCUAACUACGUG
rnacentral:rRNA from 1 species